UACGGGGGGGGCAAGCGUUGUUCGGAAUUACUGGGCGUAAAGGGCUCGUAGGUGGCCAACUAAGUCAGACGUGAAAUCCCUCAGCUUAACUGGGGAACUGCGUCUGAUACUGGUUGGCUUGAGUGCAGGAGAGGAACGCGGAAUUCCAGGUGUAGCGGUGAAAUGCGUAGAUAUCUGGAGGAACACCGGUGGCGAAGGCGGCGUUCUGGACUGUAACUGACACUGAUGAACGAAAGCCAGGGUAGCAAACGGG
rnacentral:rRNA from 1 species